GACGAACGCUGGCGGCAAGCUUAACACAUGCAAGUCGAACGCCGUAGCAAUACGGAGUGGCAGACGGGUGAGUAACACGUGGGAACGUGCCUUUCGGUUCGGAACAACUGAGGGAAACUUCAGCUAAAACCGGAUACGCCCUUCGGGGGAAAGUUUACGCCGAAAGAUCGGCCCGCGUCAGAUUAGGUAGUUGGCGGGGUAAUGGCCCACCAAGCCGAUGAUCUGUAGCUGUUCUGAGAGGAAGAUCGGCCACACUGGGACUGAGACACGGCCCAGACUCCUACGGGAGGCAGCAGUGGGGAAUACUGGACAAUGGGCGCAAGCCUGAUCCAGCUAUGCCGCGUGGAUGAAGAAGGCCUUCGGGUUGCAAAGUCCUUUCGGCGGGGAAGAUAAUGACGGUACCCGCAGAAGAAGCCCCGGCUAAUUUCGUGCCAGCCGCCGCGGUAACAC
rnacentral:rRNA from 1 species